CGGUACAGAGUCAAUGUGGAGGCUUUAUACAGGGGGUACUGGUACAGAGUCAAUGUGGAGACUAUAUACAGGGGGUACCGGUACAGAGUCAAUGUGGAGGCUAUAUACAGGGGGUACUGGUACAGAGUCAAUGUGGAGACUAUAUACAGGGGGUACCGGUACAGAGUCAAUGUGGAGGCUAUAUACAGGGGGUUACGGUACAGAGUCAAUGUGGAGGCUAUAUACAGGGGGUAUCGGUACAGAGUCAAUGUGGAGGCUAUAUACAGGGGGUACCGGUACAGAGUCAAUGUGGAGGCUAUAUACAGGGGGUACCGGUACAGAGUCAAUGUGGAGGCUAUAUACAGGGGGUACCGGUACAGAGUCAAUGUGGAGGCUAUAUACAGGGGGUACCGGUACAGAGUCAAUGUGGAG
ensembl:lncRNA